rnacentral:rRNA from 1 species
AGAUUGAACGCUGGCGGCAUGCCUUACACAUGCAAGUCGAACGGCAGCACGGGAGCAAUCCUGGUGGCGAGUGGCGAACGGGUGAGUAAUAUAUCGGAACGUGCCCAGUCGUGGGGGAUAACGCAGCGAAAGCUGUGCUAAUACCGCAUACGAUCUCUGGAUGAAAGCGGGGGACUCGCAAGAGCCUCGCGCGAUUGGAGCGGCCGAUAUCAGAUUAGCUAGUUGGUGGGGUAAAAGCUCACCAAGGCGACGAUCUGUAGCUGGUCUGAGAGGACGACCAGCCACACUGGAACUGAGACACGGUCCAGACCUCCGUACGGGAGGCAGCGAGUGGGUAAGUUUGGAC